ACCUGAUCAGCCAUGCCGCGUGUGUGAAGAAGGCCUUUUGGUUGUAAAGCACUUUAAGCAGUGAAGAAGACUCUUCGGUUAAUACCCGGGGACGAUGACAUUAGCUGCAGAAUAAGCACCGGCUAACUCUGUGCCAGCAGCCGCGGUAAUACAGAGGGUGCAAGCGUUAAUCGGAAUUACUGGGCGUAAAGCGAGCGUAGGUGGCUUGAUAAGUCAGAUGUGAAAUCCCCGGGCUUAACCUGGGAACUGCAUCUGAAACUGUUAGGCUAGAGUAGGUGAGAGGGAAGUAGAAUUYCAGGUGUAGCGGUGAAAUGCGUAGAGAUCUGAAGGAAUACCGAUGGCGAAGGCAGCUUCCUGGCAUCAUACUGACACUGAGGCUCGAAAGCGUGGGUAGCAAACAGGAUUAGAUACCCUGGUAGUCCACGCCGUAAACGAUGUCUACUAGUCGUUGGGUCCCUUGAGGACUUAGUGACGCAGCUAACGCAAUAAGUAGACCGCCUGGGGAGUACGGCCGCAAGGUUAAAACUCA
rnacentral:rRNA from 1 species